GACGAACGCUGGCGGCGUGCUUAACACAUGCAAGUCGAACGGAAAGGCCCUGCUUUUGUGGGGUGCUCGAGUGGCGAACGGGUGAGUAACACGUGAGUAACCUGCCCUUGACUUUGGGAUAACUUCAGGAAACUGGGGCUAAUACCGGAUAGGAGCUCCCGCUGCAUGGUGGGGGUUGGAAAGUUUCGGCGGUUGGGGAUGGACUCGCGGCUUAUCAGCUUGUUGGUGGGGUAGUGGCUUACCAAGGCUUUGACGGGUAGCCGGCCUGAGAGGGUGACCGGCCACAUUGGGACUGAGAUACGGACCAGACUCCUACGGGAGGCAGCAGUGGGGAAUAUUGCACAAUGGGCGGAAGCCUGAUGCAGCAACGCCGCGUGCGGGAUGACGGCCUUCGGGUUGUAAACCGCUUUCGCCUGUGACGAAGCGUGAGUGACGGUAAUGGGUAAAGAAGCACCGGCUAACUACGUG
rnacentral:rRNA from 1 species